CUUGAGGCUGCCGAGCCACAGCGGCCGCUCCGCCGAGCGGCCCUCUCCAUAGGUAGCAAACAGCGCCUGUGCUUC
rnacentral:antisense_RNA from 1 species